rnacentral:rRNA from 1 species
GAUUAGCGCUGGCGGUAUGCCUAACACAUGCAAGUCGAGCGAACCUUCGGGUUAGCGGCGAACGGGUGAGUAAUACAUUGGUACUUGCCUCAGAGUAGGACAUAGCCUGCCGAAAGGUGGGGUAAUUUCCUAUAGUCUUAGCAAUAAGUAAAGCAGCAAUGCGCUCUGAGAGAGACCUUUGUCCUAUCAGCUUGUUGGCGGGGUAAAAGCCCACCAAGGCUACGACGGGUAGCUGGAUCGAGAGGUUGACCAGCCACACUGGGACUGAGACACGGCCCAGACUCCUACGGGAGGCAGCAGUGGGGAAUAUUGGACAAUGGGCGCAAGCCUGAUCCAGCAAUGCCGCGUGAGUGAUGAAGGCCUUCGGGUCGUAAAGCUCUUUUACCCGGGAUGAUAAUGACAGUACCGGGAGAAUAAGCUCCGGCUAACUCCGUGCCAGCAGCCGCGGUAA